UACAAUUAUUAGUGUGUUUGCUGCCAUCUAGUGGUGGAAUGCACACUGUAUUUCCAAUUUUGAAUUUCUUCACUCCAGCCAUUACUUUGCCGUUUCGCCAAAUUUGUCUUCCUUUAAAACCCAGAAUAUAGGGGAUAAGGGUUAGAUUUACACCAGGAAAGAAGAAUUGUACGAGACUAAGAGUAUUCUAGAGCAAGAAUUGGACAACAUGAAGAACUCGAAGUAGAUCUAGAUUUCAAUUUACCAGACAGUCACACUGGUCUACAUACUACAGUACAGUCCCACACAGCCACUCAUGUGUGGGAAAAUAUCGGUCUGCAGAAAACGACCAACUUUGCUUUGCUGCUGGAGCUAUACUUUAAGGUCAACAUUUUCUCCAGGAGGGUAUCUUCGGCUGCGGGAAAGUCAUCAACAUGGACUGUUCCAGUGAACAUGCAGUCUUGAUUUGUAAGACUAAACUGUCCAACAAACUUCACGGAAAUUAUGCAAGACAUGGGUGAGAGUUUGAGAAUUCAUCUGUAUGGGAUCCCUAUAGAGGAGAGCUUUUCAAAAUUAUACCAGUUAUGCUGACCAGCAAACAUUCAGCAAGUACAUCCAGUACAAUCGACCCUGUCACCUUUGUUCGGUCGGAAGGAAUCUGAGAAAGUAAUCUUCAAUACACAGCUUUUUUUCGAGCAAAACUUUUAAAUUUGCCGCACAGAUGUGACGUAUACGCCUCUGUCUGUGUUGUGAGGACCCUACGUCACAAAAAAUGUCGCGCAAUGCAUUGUGAGAGGAACCGGCUCGAUCAUUCACUUGUUUUUUGCUCAUUAAAGCCUUACUGCACUCCUUUUAGCUACUUGCUC
rnacentral:lncRNA from 1 species